UUUGCAGAAUAUGGUAUGUGACGUCACAGAGGAUCAAGCGGACCACGACGUAAAGCAGGAAUGACGAAAAGUCAGCAAAUAAAGCUGCCGAAGAAAAGCGCAAUUCGAAGAACAAAGACGAAGACGCCGAUAAAGGAUACACGGUUUGAGGUUUGAGUAUUACAUAUGUAUGCGUUGCAUGUUAUGUGUGUGUGUCUGUCUGCGCUGUUGUACACUUAUUUGCUGGACCUAGUGUUGCCAGUUAUUUUUUGGUCAAUCACUAUUAUAGUGCAUUUUGCAUUGCUGGACCUAGUGUUGCCAGUUAUUUUUUGGUCAAUCACUAUUAUAGUGCAUUUUGCAUGUCUAUGAAAUAUAUGCAAUGAAACUAUGGCGAACUUCAUUGCUGGAUCAGAUUUUGUUGUUCUACUCUCUAUUGUGUGUUUCUUCUGCAAAGAUCGAAUCUUUCAACGAUUCUGUAUUGUCCUAAUCACUUGGUAAGAACGCUAUGUUGGUACACAAAUACUUGAGUAAUAUCAACACGCAGUAUAAUAUACGCAUAAUUAAAAUCCAAUACUUUCCAUUUAUUCUGUAAAAUAUAAACUACUCAACACCAAUAAAUAAUUCAUAUUAUACAAACGUCAUGUAGCGUGAUUGGGACGAUGGCCACGUCACAAUUACGCUACGACGUCAAUUCGGUGGGUCAGAGCAUUGUCAUGACCCUGCGUUUGGUGCGGUUCCGUCACGUCGAUUGAGUUACGUCACGGUCAGGUUGUUGCGUGGACGUCGCCGCCAGUGAUGCUACGCUCGGUUUUAGGUCACUGUCAAUGCGGUUCGUAACAACUUGACGCAGUUUCGUAACGGUCGAUGCGGUGCGUAGCAUCCGGACGUUAUUAUAUUGUGUGAAGAUACGACGAAAGUAUCGCGGUACCAACAUGGCGACUUACCUUUUGAUUAGGACAUGCGGAGCUGUUGUUGGCUUCGACUCCUUGUUGUUGGACAUUCAAUAUGGUGUACACUGCAGAUGAUUAUCCUUCAGGAAUUGAACCAUAUUUUAUUUGUAGAUGUUUCAAUGAUUAUGUCCGCGUUAAUAAAUUUUUGACUAUUGUCCUCUUUUUGAAUGAUUGAGCUGUUGUGUUUGUUGCAUGUUUGUCACAGUAUUGUCUCUGCGCUCGUUGUACUAUUUUUGUCUUUUUGUCGGUGUGUUAUUUGUAUUCGUUGUAUUAUUUUUUGUCU